UACGUAGGGUCCGAGCGUUGUCCGGAAUUAUUGGGCGUAAAGGGCUCGUAGGCGGUUUGUUGCGUCGGGAGUGAAAUCCUCCAGCUUAACUGGAGGCUUGCUUUCGAUACGGGCAGACUUGAGGUACUCAGGGGAGAAUGGAAUUCCUGGUGUAGCGGUGAAAUGCGCAGAUAUCAGGAGGAACACCGGUGGCGAAGGCGGUUCUCUGGGAGUUACCUGACGCUGAGGAGCGAAAGUGUGGGGAGCGAACAGG
rnacentral:rRNA from 2 species